rnacentral:rRNA from 1 species
GAUGAACGCUAGCGGCAGGCUUAACACAUGCAAGUCGAGGGGCAGCACGUCUUCGGAUGGUGGCGACCGGCGCACGGGUGCGUAACGCGUAUACAAUCUACCUUUUACAGGGGCAUAGCCCGGGGAAACCCGGAUUAAUAUCCCAUGGUACCAUGCUAUGGCAUCAUAUUAUGGUUAAAGCUUCGGCGGUGAAAGAUGAGUAUGCGUUCUAUUAGCUAGAUGGUAAGGUAACGGCUUACCAUGGCUUUGAUAGAUAGGGGUCCUGAGAGGGAGAUCCCCCACACUGGUACUGAGACACGGACCAGACUCCUACGGGAGGCAGCAGUGAGGAAUAUUGGACAAUGGGCGAGAGCCUGAUCCAGCCAUGCCGCGUGCAGGAAGACGGCCCUAUGGGUUGUAAACUGCUUUUAUACGGGAGAAACACUCCCUCGUGAGGGAGCUUGACGGUACCGUAUGAAUAAGGAUCGGCUAACUCCGUGCCAGCAGCCGAC